AGAGAGCUGGAGCCCUAUAAAAACAUAAAACUAAAUGUCCAUCUUCAAGAUAUGGAACUUAAAAAAUAUAUUUUUUUUUUUCCGAAUAAUG
rnacentral:lncRNA from 1 species